GACGAACGCUGGCGGCGUGCUUAACACAUGCCAGUCGAACGGAAAGGCCCUGCUUUUGUGGGGUGCUCGAGUGGCGAACGGGUGAGUAACACGUGAGUAACCUGCCCUUGACUUUGGGAUAACUUCAGGAAACUGGGGCUAAUACCGGAUAUGAGCUCCUGCUGCAUGGUGGGGGUUGGAAAGUUUCGGCGGUUGGGGAUGGACUCGCGGCUUAUCAGCUUGUUGGUGGGGUAGUGGCUUACCAAGGCUUUGACGGGUAGCCGGCCUGAGAGGGUUACCGGCCACAUUGGGACUACGAUACGGCCCAGACUCCUACGGGAGGCAGCAGUGGGGAAUAUUGCACAAUGGGCGGAAGCCUGAUGCAGCAACGCCGCGUGCGGGAUGACGGCCUUCGGGUUGUAAACCGCUUUCGCCUGUGACGAAGCGUGAGUGACGGUAAUGGGUAAAGAAGCACCGGCUAACUACGUG
rnacentral:rRNA from 1 species